rnacentral:rRNA from 1 species
GAAANGCGUGGGUAGCGAACAGGAUUAGAUACCCUGGUAGUCCACGCCGUAAACGAUGAGUGCUAGGUGUUAGGCCCUUUCCGGGGCUUAGUGCCGGAGCUAACGCAAUAAGCACUCCGCCUGGGGAGUACGACCGCAAGGUUGAAACUCAAAGGAAUUGACGGGGGCCCGCACAAGCGGUGGAGCAUGUGGUUUAAUUCGAAGCAACGCGAAGAACCUUACCAGGUCUUGACAUCCCGAUGCUAUUCUUAGAGAUAGGAAGUUACUUCGGUACGUCGGAGACAGGUGGUGCAUGGUUGUCGUCAGCUCGUGUCGUGAGAUGUUGGGUUAAGUCCCGCAACGAGCGCAACCCUUAUUGUUAGUUGCCAUCAUUAAGUUGGGCACUCUAGCGAGACUGCCGGUAAUAAACCGGAGGAAGGUGGGGAUGACGUCAAAUCAUCAUGCCCCUUAUGACCUGGGCUACACACGUGCUACAAUGGUCGGUACAACGAGUUGCGAGCCGGUGACGGCAAGCUAAUCUCUGAAAGCCGAUCUCAGUUCGGAUUGGAGGCUGCAACUCGCCUCCAUGAAGUCGGAAUCGCUAGUAAUCGCGGAUCAGCACGCCGCGGUGAAUACGUUCCCGGGCCUUGUACACACCGCCCGUCACACCACGAGAGU